rnacentral:rRNA from 1 species
AACAGGUUAAUAUUCCUGUACUUGGUGUUACUGCGAAGGGGGGACGGAGAAGGCUAUGUUAGCCGGGCGACGGUUGUCCCGGUUUAAGCAUGUAGGCUGGUUAUCCAGGCAAAUCCGGAUAAUCAAGGCUGAGGUGUGAUGACGAGGCACUACGGUGCUGAAGUAACAAAUGCCCUGCUUCCAGGAAAAGCCUCUAAGCAUC